UACAGAGGUCUCAAGCGUUGUUCGGAUUCAUUGGGCGUAAAGGGUGCGUAGGCGGCGCGGUAAGUCGGGUGUGAAAUCUCGGAGCUUAACUCCGAAACUGCAUUCGAUACUGCCGUGCUUGAGGACUGGAGAGGAGACUGGAAUUUACGGUGUAGCGGUGAAAUGCGUAGAUAUCGUAAGGAAGACCAGUGGCGAAGGCGGGUCUCUGGCCCGGUACUGACGCUGAGGCGCGAAAGCGUGGGGAGCAAACAGG
rnacentral:rRNA from 1 species